rnacentral:lncRNA from 1 species
ACUGUGCGGGCCUGCGGCGGCCUGAGGCCAUCCCUGUUGAACGGGGGCCCCCGUACUUAGGCUUAGCCUACGAACCAGAGGAAGCGUUUUCCACUUGCCGAACAGCUCGCAUCGCACUGAGGCCGCGAGGGGUGCUAUGUUCGAGCUUAUUAGCCAUGCUAGGCAAGCGUACAUGGCCUACGGAUGAUGUGCUUUGAAGUGCAAAUUCGUUCCAUGUGCUCCUGUGGCUGUGAGAUUUGGCGACCUGACGCGCUCUGUCACAAAAUCGCUAAGUGCCG